CUUCAGCGAGCCCAGCCACAACGGGCGUCGCGGGUCGCGGUCGCGGCCGUAGGUGGCCAGCAACGCCUGCGCCUC
rnacentral:antisense_RNA from 1 species